rnacentral:antisense_RNA from 1 species
GCAUGUUGGGGAGAUGGCCCCUGCGGGAAGACUCCGAGGCAGUCUGCUGCAGCUCCUUCCGGCUGAAUCCGGUUCAGGAAGUAAAACCAGCCCUGUGUAGAGGCAGGCGAAUGGAACCACAGGUGCUUCCUGUCCUGGUCACAAAGUCAGAGUGGCUGGGCCAAGUGUCCUGAGAAGAGUCACCUCCUGGGAUCCCAUCAGCCUGGCCAUAGCAGAACACCCAGACAGGGGCCCAUCCCCGAGGCUCAACUCAAUGCAUGCAGCCACUGUAGAAAAGUCUGGAAAGUAGUUCUUCAACCGACUAGACAUGGUGAGCCCAAAACCCAGCCAUGACACUCCUAGGCAUCUGCCCCAGAAGAAUGAAAGCAUCCAUCCCCUGCAAACUCAUCCUUACACAGCAGCGUGACUCCAGACGGCCAAAGGCAGAAACACCCCAAACGUCCAUCAGUGGACAAACGGGCAGACGCAAUGCACUGUCUGUACCGUGGGAUGUCACUCAGCCAUAAGAAGGAAAGAAUCCAGUGUGGAUGAGCCUUGGAACCACGGUGCUGCAUGAUCCCGUAACACAUGGCCAGAACAGACACGGCCCGGAACCUGAGGCCGGGAGGAUGCGUGCGGGUGGCGGGGAGACAGAGGGGCGAUGGCUAAGGAAUACCCAGUUUCUUUUGGACUGAAAAUGGUCUAAAGUUGACUGUGGUGAUGGCUGUACAACUCUGAAUAUGCUGAAAACUCGAAUUACACACUUCAGUUGGGCGAACUGUACUCCAUGUGAAUUACCUCUCGAUGGUUCUCUCCUGGGCUCAGGCGCUUCUCCCACCUUGGCCUCCUGAGUAGCUGGAACUACCACUCAUGUGCGGAAAUAAAACAACUCAGUCUCAAAAAAAACUCAACUCAAAACUCAGUCUCAAAAAUAAAAAAAUAAAAAAUAAAGUAAAAGAGGCUACCAA